rnacentral:rRNA from 1 species
GUGGGGAAUAUUGCGCAAUGGGCGAAAGCCUGACGCAGCGACGCCGCGUGAGGGAUGAAGGUUUUCGGAUCGUAAACCUCUGUCAGAAGGGAAGAAACUACGUUGUGCUAAUCAGCAGCGUACUGACGGUACCUUCAAAGGAAGCACCGGCUAACUCCGUGCCAGCAGCCGCGGUAAUACGGAGGGUGCAAGCGUUAAUCGGAAUUACUGGGCGUAAAGCGCACGUAGGCUGUAGUGUAAGUCAGGGGUGAAAUCCCACGGCUCAACCGUGGAACUGCCUUUGAUACUGCACAACUUGAAUCCGGGAGAGGGUGGCGGAAUUCCAGGUGUAGGAGUGAAAUCCGUAGAUAUCUGGAGGAACAUCAGUGGCGAAGGCGGCCACCUGGACAGGUACUGACGCUGAGGCGCGAAAGCGUGGGGAGCAAACAGGAUUAGAUACCCCAGUAGUCC